UAAUCACUAUGAAUAUAGAUUAUUUAUGAUUAAGCAUCAUUUAUUUCUAAUUAUUUAUUUGAGUAUUAUAUUUUUUAUCUAUUUAAUUAAUUAACGAAUGUAGGUAUUUAUUUACGUAUGUUUUUAUUUUUAUUUGGAAAUGCAAUUUAUGUGGAAAAUUGUUAAGUUGAUUUCAACCAGUCAACGCCACUCUGAUUUGCUGAGACCGCACGUCAUCAUAAACUCCACUCUGAUAUGCCGAGGCAAAACACGCUAAAUAUUUUUUGGCUGCUGCAGUAGCUCAGCUCAGCUCAUUCAGUUCAGCUCGCUCAGCUCAGCUCCGCUCCGGACCGGACUCAGCUGCCAAGCUAUAAGGUAAGACGAUAUGUAUAAGUUAAUGUAUUUGUAGUGUUAGUUGUUUUAGCUCUGUGGUCUUAAAUCAUCUGAACCUGCUGGUGUUGCCUCUCUUCCCAGGCAGUUAGCUAACUAGCUAGCUAGCUAACGAUAGCUAAACAGUGGCCAUAGUUAAAAUGGAAUUGGAAUUACUUUUGAGAACGACCGUAAUGCAAAUAAUAUUUACUGUAACCGAAGCUUUAACGUAGAAGCAUUGUCCGGUCAUUAAGUCAAUGCACUAACCAGAGCUAGGCUGAUAAGCCAAUCUAAGCUAAAUCAAAGAACCGUCUUUGGCUAAAUUCGCUAAGCUAGCGUUAAGUUAUAUAAGUUUGUGGCACCCACAAUUAGGCAACUGGGGGCAAUAUCAAGUGCAUUUUGAAUAGCCUGAAGAAGUAAGUUUAUGUUAAUAUUACAUAAAUAAGGCAAUUUAAAAUAGUUUGUUGUGGGAAAACAUUUAUUAAAAUAGCUUAAUAUGAUGUGUGAGAAUUAAAACGGCACGAUAAUUCUGGUCAGGUGUUAAAUGUGUAUUCCCGCCUUUAGCUUAGCGUUAGCUUAGCGUUAGCUAAGCCAUAGCAUGAAGAAGUAAGUUUAUGUGAAUAUUACAUAAAUAAGGCAAUUUAAAAUAGUUUGUUGUGGGAAAACAUUUAUUAAAAUAGCUUAAUAUGAUGUGUGAGAAUUAAAACAGCACGGUAAUUCUGGUCAGGUGUUAAAUGUGUAUUCCUGCCUUUAGCUUAGCGUUAGCUUAGCGUUAGCUAAGCCAUAGCAUGAAGAAGUAAGUUUAUGUGAAUAUUACAUAAAUAAGGCAAUUUAAAAUAGUUUGUUGUGGGAAAAAAAUAAUUAAAAUAGCUUAAUAUGAUGUGUGAGAAUUAAAACGGCGAUAAUUCUCGUCAGGUGUUAAAUGUGUAUUCCCGCCGUUAGCUUAGCGUUAGCUAAGCCAUAGCAUGAAGAAGUAAGUUUAUGUUAAUAUUACAUAAAUAAGGCAAUUUAAAAUAGUUUGUUGUGGGAAAAAAAUUAUUAAAAUGGCUUAAUAUGAUGUGUGAGAAUUAAAACGGCAGGAUAAUUCUCGUCAGGUGUUAAAUGUGUAUUCCCGCCUUUAGCUUAGCGUUAGCUUAGCGUUAGCUAAGCCAUAGCAUGACGAAGUAAGUUUAUGUGAAUAUUACAUAAAUAAGGCAAUUUAAAAUAGUUUGUUGUGGGAAAAAAUUAAUUAAAAUAGCUUAAUAUGAUGUGUGAGAAUUAAAACGGCACGAUAAUUCUCGUCAGGUGUUAAAUGUGUAUUCCCGCCGUUAGCUUAGAGUUAGCUAAGCCAUAGUGUGAAGAAGUAAGUUUAUGUGAAUAUUACAUAAAUAAGGCAAUUUAAAAUAGUUUGUUGUGGGACAAAAAUAAAUGGCCAUCUUCAACAUUUUCUGAGAUUUCUAAUUUGUCUUUUUCUACUUGUGCAGAUGGAGUCAUGAAAUGUGACGGGACAGCCACCGAGGACUUCAUACUUCGGAGCAUCUCAAACAUGCACCACAAAGACGUGGAGGACACACCGCUGUCUCUCAGGACCUAGAAUCUUAAUGAAAGUAUAAUGAUGUUAAGGGAAGGUGUAAUGGAAAGGUGUAAUGUAAAGUUGUAAUGGUGUUAAGGGAAGGUGUAGUGGAAAGGUGUGAUAGUGUUGAGGGAAGGUGUAAUAGUGUUGAGGGAAGGGGUAAUGUUAAAGGUGUAAUAGUGUUGAGGGAAGGUGUAAUGUUAAAGGUGUAAUAGUGUUAAGGGAAGGUAUAAUAUUGUUAAGGGAAGGUGUAAUAGUGUUGAGGGAAGGUAUAAUAUUGUUAAGGGAAGGUGUAAUAGUGUUGAGGGAAGGUGUAAUGUUAAAGGUGUAAUAGUGUUAAGGGAAGGUAUAAUAUUGUUAAGGGAAGGUGUAAUGUAAAGCUGUAAUAGUUUUAAGGGAAGGUAAAUGUUUAGUGAAAUUGUUAUGGUGUGAAUCUAAGGUGUAUGUUAUGUUGAUGUAAAAUAAAGGCAUUAAACCCAAAUGAGAUUUACUCAUUAUGUUUAUUAUUAUAUUAAUGUUUCCCCAAACAGAAAGGGUCAAUUUAAAAUCAACAGUGGUAAGAUGGGGGUAAUUAAUUUAUCCCUUGCUUUUACUGGUUCUUUGCAGGUUGACAUGUUUUGGAAAAAGUGAGAGGGUUGAAAUGCAAUUUAUUUGUAAAGCAUAUUGUGUAUAACUAACGUGCAUAACUAGUUCCAGAAGGUUGUGAACCUGUUCCAGUAAUUGUUUGGCUUAGCUUUGUAUGCGUUUCCAGUUAACUGCUGAAGCUGGAACAAUGGAACAGUUGCCACCGUCUGAAAUGGCACUACAGUUAUGCAGGGAGCCUCAAAGUAGUUGGUCUAUAAAAACGUAUACAUGUAAAUUUCACGUAGAAAAGACGUCCACAACGACUUAAUUUAAACUAGAAUUAGCCCUUAUCCGGAGGUCUGGGGGACGUCAAUACUGGACGUGCAGAAGACGUCAGAAAAAAGACGUCGUCUGGCGUCACAGUCUGCACCUUCAGGAGACCAAAAUUGGACGUGCAAAAAUGACCUAGAAAAGACGUCGUUUCAACGUCUCUUUGUUUAGUGGGU